rnacentral:tRNA from 3 species
GAAACUUUAGGUUAAGUAAACCCCGGGCCUUCAAAGCCUGCAACGAGACUAUAAGCUCAAGUUUUG